rnacentral:rRNA from 1 species
UACGGAGGAUGCGAGCGUUAUCCGGAUUUAUUGGGUUUAAAGGGUGCGCAGGCGGAAGAUUGAGUCAGCGGUGAAAGUUUGCAGCUUAACUGUAAAAUUGCCGUUGAAACUGGUUUUCUUGAGUGUAUAUGAAGUAGGCGGAAUUUGUGGUGUAGCGGUGAAAUGCAUAGAUAUCACAAGGAACUCCGAUUGCGAAGGCAGCUUACUAAAAUACAACUGACGCUCAGGCACGAAGGCGUGGGUAUCAAACAGGAUUAGAUACCCCCGUAGU